GCCAGGCCAGGUGGUGCUCGCCUGUAAUCCCAGUGACUUGGGAGGCCAAGGCAGGAGGAUCAAGAUUUCAAAGCCAGCCUCAGCAAUUUAGUGAGGCAUUUAGCAAGUCAGUGAGAUCCUGUCUCUC
rnacentral:sRNA from 1 species